UACGAGGGAUGCAAGCGUUAUCCGGAAUUAUUGGGCGUAAAGCGUUUGUAGGCGGGCGAGUGUGUUUAAUGUUAAAUCUUAAAGCUCAACUUUGAAAUUGCGUUAAAAACUGCUUGUCUUGAGUAUGGUAGGGGUAAAGGGAAUUCCCAGUGUAGCGGUGAAAUGCGUAGAUAUUGGGAAGAACACUAAACAGCGAAGGCACUUUACUAGGCUAAUACUGACGCUGAGAAACGAAAGGUAAGGUAGCGAAACGGAUUAGAUACCCGUGUAGUCUUACCCGUAAACUAUGGACACUAAACGGUAAAUUUUUAAUUUACUGUUAAAGCUAACGCGUUAAGUGUCCCGCCUGGGGAGUAUGCUUGCAAAAGUGAAACUCAAAGGAAUUGACGGGGGCCCGCGCAAGCGGUGGAGCAUGUGGUUUAAUUCGACGGUACACGAAGAACCUUACCAGGAUUUGACAUGCUAGAUAGUUGCUUGAAAGAGUAACGUGCCGUAAGGAAUCUAGACACAGGUGGUGCAUGGCUGUCGUCAGUUCGUGUUGUGAAAUGUUGGGUUAAGUCCCGCAACGAACGCAACCCUUGUCUUUAGUUAUUUUCUAAAGAGACUGCCUGUAAUAAACAGGAGGAAGGUAAGGAUGAGGUCAAGUCAUCAUGCCCCUUAUGUCCUGGGCUACACACGUGCUACAAUGGGAAAGACAAUGAGCUGCAAAUCUGUAAAUUUAAGCAAAUCUCUUAAACUUUCUCGUAGUUCGGAUUGUGGGCUGCAACUCGCCCACAUGAAGUUGGAAUCGCUAGUAAUCGCCAGUCAGCUAUAUGGCGGUGAAUCCGUUCCCGGGCCU
rnacentral:rRNA from 1 species